GUCGUGAGAUGUUGGGUUAAGUCCCGCAACGAGCGCAACCCUUGUCAUUAGUUGCUACAUUCAGUUGGGCACUCUAAUGAGACUGCCGGUGACAAACCGGAGGAAGGUGGGGAUGACGUCAAGUCCUCAUGGCCCUUAUGGGUAGGGCCUCACACGUCAUACAAUGGCGGAUACAGAGGGUUGCCAACCCGCGAGGGGGAGCCAAUCCCAGAAAGUCCGUCGUAGUCCGGAUCGGAGUCUGCAACUCGACUCCGUGAAGUCGGAAUCGCUAGUAAUCGCGGAUCAGCAUGUCGCGGUGAAUACGUUCCCGGGUCUUGUACACACCGCCCAUCACACCAUGGGAGCGGGUUUCACCAGAAGUAGCUAGCCUAACCGCAAGGGGGGCGGUUACCACGGUGAGAUUCGUGACUGGGGUGAAGUCGUAACAAGGUAGCCGUAUCGGAAGGUGCGGCUGGAUCACCUCCUUUCUAGAGAAGGCGUUCUUGAAGAACGCGCAAGCAUCCACACUCAUCGGUUGUUCACAAACAGCAGGGACGCGGGGCGUGAAGUGCGCGGGACAGGGGAAGACAUCCUUGUUCGGCCGGCCCCCUGGACCCUAAGAAAUUGGGGUCUGUAGCUCAGUUGGUUAGAGCACCGUCUUGAUAAGGCGGGGGUCGUUGGUUCAACUCCAACCAGACCCACCAGAACAUGGGGGUGUAGCUCAGCUGGGAGAGCACCUGCUUUGCAAGCAGGGGGUCAUCGGUUCGAUCCCGUUCACCUCCACCAUUGACUGCAAGUCGAGUUGGCGCACGAGAAAUUGGAAAGGCUAGAACCAAGCGAAUGGACGUUUGCUUGGUUCUGGUUUUUUAUAAAGCCAGGGGCUGUUUGAUCUUUAACAAUACGGAAGAAGUACAACCACAUCACUUGCAGCUUUGGGGUGGUGUGGCUGGGUUAGAUUGUAUGUAUCGCCUAUUCCCAUUGAAGAGUUCGGUGGGGGUAGGAGCAACACAAGCGCUGAAGUAAAAAACCUGUGGCGUUGGGCCUUUGAAGUUAGUCGCUUCGAGGGGACAAGGUUAUAGGAUCAAGUGAAUAAGUGCAUGUGGUGGAUGCCUUGGCGAUUACAGGCGAUGAAGGACGUGGCAGCCUGCGAAAAGCUGCGGGGAGCUGGCAAACGAGCUUUGAUCCGCAGAUAU
rnacentral:sRNA from 1 species